UCUGGUGACUAUAGCAAGGAGGUCACACCUGUUCCCAUGCCGAACACAGAAGUUAAGCUCCUUAGCGU
rnacentral:rRNA from 3 species